rnacentral:lncRNA from 1 species
UCUGAUCCUGCCAUCUACGGAUUAUUUUAAUCUUGGUGUCUUGCUGGAUUCAAUCUCUUAGAUUAAUCUACUCGGUGCAUGCAUAUAAUGGUAGUUUCCUGUACUUUUCUUCUCUUUGAUUAGUGAUUAAACUUGCCGUCGCAUACACCAUAGCUGCUUUAUCAUCCGAGACCACACCAACCAUGAUAGAUUUUAUAAAAUAUGACUCGAGAGUUUCGAAGCAAACUAACCCCAAAUGCAUUAUGGGCACUCGAGUCUCUCUGACGCUUGAGCUUACAUUAAAUUCAGAGAGAAAUGUUCUUCGAGGGAAGUUCGUUAAACUGCAAUUGCUGAACAAAGCAGUUUACCUUGUAAGAAGUUCCAUACCUUGAAGGCUUACAGACUAGUUUAUUAUAACCUAUCAUCGCUUCUGAUUCUGAGUCGUUUCGAUGACUACAUAGAUUAGAGGAUCAGUUCUCACUACAGAUGCUUAAAUGCUCAUGUUUUAUGGAGAUCUUGCUGAGGGACAGCUCCAGAGGCGCACUAAUUGUCAAAAAAGAAGCUAAAAUACUGAUACUAAACAUGGCAAUGGAGGAACGUCAAUUUAAAAGAUAAUUUAUGCAGCAAUCAUAAACGUGCAGGUUACAAUAUCCUUACCUGGUCAGAAUGAAGCUUUAAUCAAGCAGUGUACAAUCAUAUUUAAUUAAUGAAAACAAAAUUGCCACAUUCAAGGUGAGGAGAACGCAUCAUGAGGGUCCAGCCACUUUUGUUGGUAUGCUGACGCCAUGUUUUCUUGGUCUAAGCUGCUUGCAGCCAGAGCUUGGAAAGCUUUCUUGACCUUGUUUACGCUCUUAUGGUGGCGGAUACGUUUCAGAAUAACAUCUUUCUCCAUGGCAUGAACUGCUGGUUUUAAAUGAAGCUGGUUGCUGAUAGGGUUAGUGAGUGCUUGGUUGUCUUCGACUUCUCGGUGCUUAAGAUUCAAUUUCUCGUUUUCCGAGAAAGAUUGCGGGGCUUUAGAAACCACGAAAGACAUUGUUUUUGGAGAUGGAUAGAUGAAGGAGAGUAAGAAGUGUCCCAUGUCCUCUCUCUCUAUAAAUAAAGUGAGUGUUGGGGUUUCAGUGGGAGCUUCCUUUUGUUUUGUUUAGUGGUUUGCUUUGACACAAAUCAGUGGGUGUUGCAUUUAAUUUGGCGGUAGUGGCGGCUAGCCAACUUGACACGAAGAAUUAAGCUGUAAUUGGUGAAAGCCAAAUCAUUUA